UGCUCACUUCGGUUUACGGAAUAUCGCU
rnacentral:piRNA from 2 species